rfam:Schistosoma mattheei strain Denwood, Zambia genome assembly, scaffold: SMTD_scaffold0004353
ACCCAUCUGACGAGUCCCAAAUAGGACGAAACGCGCGUCCUGGAU